AUUCAUACUCUCGGUAAAUGAAUGAGGAGAGCCCCAUGUGGGAUUACAAACUUGCUGGAAAUGGAUGAGAAACCUUCUGCUCUGCUGGAGUUUAUCUUGAGUGUGCCUUAAAAUUCCAUUUCAUGGAGAACUGUGCGUGGUUGAAUUUUGAUUGAUUACUCAAUUAACUGAUGUAUUGGUAGAGUGAUUAAGAAAGAAGACUUUGGGAUCAGACCAACCUGGUUUUGAAUUCAAGCUCAGCAACUUACUAGGUAAGGAGGAGAAAAGAAAGAAGGAAAAAUUGGAAAGAUAAAUGGGGUCUUUCCAGUGAAGGCUCAAUUUUCCUACAUAAUUAAGAGUUUGGAAUUCGGGCAAUAUCAAGAACCACAUCUGUCCUGAAAUCAAUUAUCUCUGUUUGAAACACAAGAAAUAAGAAGACCAUUUUGAGAAGAACAGAGAGUAGCCUUAAGAAAAUCCCUGUCGCAAGCACUCUGGGAUUUGGACUCAAAUGCUAAUUAUACAAUGAGGAAAUUGAGAUACAGAAAGGUGAAGAAAUAAUGUCACAUAGUAGUGGAGUCAGAAUAAAAAUGCAGACAGGAACCACUUGGGUGCCCAGCUGCUGUCCAUUCUCUACACUUAUCCCACCUGAUGGAAGGCUGUUAAGAAAAACAUCACUGCAAUGCCUAAUAAACAGACAUGGGUCCCAGACCCAAUAAGAGUGAAACCAUCCCCCUAUUUAAAUGAAAUUAUGGCUGAUGAGAAAGACAAAUUAAUUUCUCUGUCCCUAGUAUUACACAAAACUUUGGAUGCUGCCAUUGUUACAAUUUUAUUUUCCCCAGGAGCUCAGAGUCCCACCUUCAUUCUUUUUGUUUAAUGCUUAAGCUUGCCUGUCCACCUAUGGAAGACUAGAAUGAGCAAAGACCAUGUAUUCAAUGAUCUGUAAAUCUAACAGGAAACAAUAUAAUAAAUAUAUUGUGUUUGCUAACCAAAUCUGUGAA
rnacentral:lncRNA from 1 species